rnacentral:tRNA from 2 species
GCGGGCGUAGUUCAAUGGUAGAACGGCAGUCUUCCAAACUGCACACGAGGGUUCGAUUCCCUUCGCCCGCUCCA